rnacentral:rRNA from 1 species
UACAGAGGUCUCAAGCGUUGUUCGGAUUCAUUGGGCGUAAAGGGCUCGUAGGCGGCCAACUAAGUCAUACGUGAAAUCCCUCGGCUUAACCGGGGAACUGCGUCUGAUACUGGAUGGCUUGAGUUCGGGAGAGGGAUGCGGAAGUUCCAGGUUGAGCGGUGAAAUUCGUAGAUAUUCGGAAGAACACCAGUGGCGAAGGCGACUCACUGGCCCGUUACUGACGCUGAGGCGCGAAAGCGUGGGGAGCAAACAGGG